rnacentral:rRNA from 1 species
CAUCUACAGCCAUACCACCCGGAAUGCUCCCGAUCUUGUCUGAUCUCAGAAGUUAAGCAGUGUGUCACCUGGUUAGUAUUUGGAUGGGAGAUGAAUCAGUGUGGGUUGUAAUGC